ACACGCAUGACACACUGCAUAUCAAUAAGCGGAGGAAAAGAAACUAACAAGGAUUCCCUUAGUAACGGCGAGUGAAGCGGGAAGAGCUCAAAUUUGAAAUCUUCAAGGUUCUACCUUGACGAAUUGUAGUUUAUAGAAGUGUUUUCUGUUAGUAGAGUGGCAAAAGUUCUUUGGAAUAGGACAUCAUAGAGGGUGAGAAUCCCGUAUUUGGUCAUUCUUUCUAGCUUUGUGAUACACUUUCAACGAGUCGGAUUGUUUGGGAAUGCAGUCCAAAAUGAGUGGUAAAUUUCAUCUAAAGCUAAAUAUUGGCGAGAGACCGAUAGCGAACAAGUACCGUGAGGGAAAGAUGAAAAGAACUUUGAAAAGAGAGUUAAACAGUACGUGAAAUUGUCAAAAGGGAAGCGUUUGACACCAGUGUUGUUUUUCCGAAAAUCAAUUACGAAUGUUUUAUUUUUGAGGAGUUAUGACUUCAUCCGGCUUGCUUCUCUCUUUAUGAAACUUUCUUAAUGCACUUUUCCGGUUAACAAGUCAACAUCAAUUUCUUUUGUUGUAAAAGGGUCAUUGAGGAAGGUGGCUUUCUUUUCGGAGAAAGUGUUUAUAGCCUUUGGCUUCUGCAAUCGGAGAGAUUGAGGUCUGCAGCGUAGAUCCUUCGGGGCUAGAUACGUUUGUGCUAAGUUAUAGCUUUUCAUAGACAACUUGUUGACUAUGUUUAGUCUUGUAGCUUACUCGCUGACGCUAUUUUACCUACGCUUAGGAUGUUGACUGAUAUGUAGUCGUA
rnacentral:rRNA from 1 species